UACGUAGGGGGCAAGCGUUGUCCGGAAUCAUUGGGCGUAAAGCGCGCGUAGGCGGCCCGAUAAAGUCCGCUGUAAAAGUCAACGGCUCAACUGUUGAACGCCGGUAGGAUACUGUCGGGCUAGGAGUACGGAAGAGGCAAGUGGAAUUCCUGGUGUAGCGGUGGAAUGACGCAGAUAUCAGGAGGAACACCUAUAGCGAAGGCAGCGUUGCUGGGACGUAACUGACGCUAAGGCGCGAAAGCGUGGGGAGCGAACGAGG
rnacentral:rRNA from 1 species